AGAAUAUGCAAUGAUAAUUUCUACGGUGAUCAAUGUGAUGUAUUUUGCAAACCUGAAGAGACAUUUGGAUGUGAUGAUAAAACGGGAAAUAAAAAGUGCCAUAUUAACUAUUAUGGUGACAAUUGUGCAGUAUUCUGUAUUCAAAGAGACAGAUAUCAUUGUGAUACACAAACAGGACAUAAGAUAUGUCGUUGGGGUUUCUAUGGCAUUGAGUGCGAUGUAUUCUGUGAAGAAGGGUCGACAUUUGUUUGUGAUCAACAAACUGGAGCAAGAAUAUGUUUUCCUGAUUACUAUGGACAAGAAUGUAGCACACAUUGUUCACCAAUCAACUCUACUGACAUUAGCUUCACAUGUAAUCCCAGAACUGGAGGAAAGGUAUGCCAGUCCGGUUUUGACGGACCGAAUUGUACAAUCGUUCUAUCGUCUAGCUCGUCAACGCCAACUUUACCAAGUGUCCCGCCAAGUGCAUCUCAGUCAAUUAUCUCAACAACGUCGACAUCUAAACUUUCUACAAAAUCUCCAACAUCAUAUACCUCACUCAAAACAACAUUUCGAUGGAAACCACGAUCAUCCAUGAUUUCACAAUUAUUGACAUUGCCACCAGAUGUAUCCUCUGCAGAACCAUCUGUAGCAGUUGUAAGUGUACCAGAUAUGACCAGUCCUCCAUUACAGAGCAGCACUGUAUAUUCUAGGCCUCCAGAAUGGGCCACAGGUUCGAUUAUAUUGGAAGGUCGUGCAAGUAAGAAACAGGUCGACAAAGUGAAAUACACCAUUAUGAGUGUUAUUUCUGAUGAGCUAUCUUCUGGUGAUACCAGCGAAGUUUAUGUGGGUAUACUACCUAUUGAAACUGGUGUAAUGAACAGCGGUACAUUCACAAAGACGUCAGUCUACGCCACAUUGGCUACAUACACCAAGGUGUCUUACUAUGUAAAGCUGAACGGAGAGUAUUUGGCUGCAGCGCAGAUAGAGGAGAUUCUAUCAGAUAUGCCUCGAGAAAGACUAAAAGAGUUUCCCCUCCCCGUAUUCCGAAUAGGGACUAAAACAAUAGAGACUGGCAAAAAUAAACCCCAAAGCAGUAACCAUCUCGCUGCCAUUGUAGGCAUACUGGUAGGAUGCAUGGCUUUACUGGUGUGUGUUAUUGUAUUAGUUGCAGUCAUUUUAAAGAAAAGAAGGCACAACAAGGAACCACCGAUAGGUUAUGAUAUGCAGCAAUUUCCUAACCCGAUGUACGACACAAUCAGCAUCAAAGGCCAUGGUACAGGAACAACUGUAAAACAUGGUCAGUCCAAUUGUAGCCCGCUAUACGCAGUUGUAAGGCCUAAACCUCCGGAAGCUAACGUCGUUGAUACACCGGCGCCAGAUUACGACUACGAUGAGGUGGAAAACAUUCCCAUCUUUUACGCAAAGUACUCGGGAGAUAUGAAACUUGGAUCAGUAAGAAGCGUAUAUGACGCAUAGGGCAUGAAUUUAUUAUACUGUGGUAUUGUAUUUACACUACAUUCUCUAUUUUAUAUUGGACAAACUGAAGUUGUUAAUGUUGUUGCCUUUCAUGGCUUUGAUGAAUUUAUGGCUUCAUAGAUGUCAGGCUGAUUCUACAUCAGACAUGUAUAUUUCAAUGAUUUUUUUUCUCUUUGUCUUUUGAAUGUUGGCCCGGUUAUCCAUUGGAGACAGUAAUGAGGACAACAUUCUGCAAUAAGUGAUUUUAAACUUUAAAGAGUUAAAACUUAACUGUGAUAACAAUGUUAAACUUAUAAAUCAAUAAUAACCUUAUUGCUGAUGAUGAGUUCGACAGUUACAAGACAAAUAUUCAAAUAAUCCACUAGCAAUAUAGCCCUUCGGACUUCGUGAAAUAUCAUUUGUGAAAGAUUAACAAGUAUUCAUCCAGAGAUAAAUAGUUGAAUAAUAUCCACAAAUCCUUUAUAGUAUAUUUUAUACUUGCUCUGUGGCGUGUUGUCAGAGUUAAUGUAUUAAUAAAGCAAAUCGAACACAUAACCACUCGUUAUUGAUGCUUUUAUCUUCUAGCUGACUACUUUCAUCCCAUUAAUUGCAUUUCAUUGUAAACCAAAAGUGAUUCAGAAUCCAGAGAGGUUCACGUGACGUAAGCGCAUU
rnacentral:misc_RNA from 1 species